rnacentral:lncRNA from 1 species
GUGGAGGAUGAGGCUGGCCACUGAGAGAUCAGCGAGCUAAAGCAGGUGGAAGGUAAGGCUUCUUGCAGCAUCCACAAAGGAAAGGUGAUUUUCUUGUGUGAGUGAAACAUCAAACUGGGCUGGAAAGGUAUCAUUAAAGAAUCUGACGUGAAGCAUAAGGGAUUGAUUGAAAUACCCAAUCUUUCUGAAGAAAAUGAAGUAGAUGACACCGAGGUGAAUGUGAGUAAAAAGAAAGGAGAUGGGGAUAUACUGAAUGAUCUUAUGAAAACUGCAGGCACUGCUAAGGUCAGGGAGGAGGUCCUUGGAGAUUACCUGAAGACACUCAAGACAGAAUUUACAAUGGGAAUGGUUUUACCAGUGAAAACUAUGGCAACCUAGGAAUUGACUGUUAAAAGAAAAUGGAGCGAGAAUAUCUUGCAGGUUCGGGCCUCAUCUCCAGUGGCACUGGGUGUAAGAAUUCCCGCUAUGGCUCUUCCCAUGAGGGCACAGUUUGACGUAACUGUAGAACAGUUGUACAGCAUCUUCACUAUGAAGGAUUUGGUGCAAAAAUUUUCUAAAUCUUCUGCUGUAUUAGAAGCUGAAAAGGGAGGGAAAUUCCAAAUGUUUGUUGGGAACAUCACUGAUGAAUAUAUAGAAUCUUUAACAAAUAAAAAAAUCAUAAUGAAAUGGAGAUGUAGGAACUGGCCAGAAGGGCAAAUGGAAUUACAAUUCGACUGUAAAGGAGUUCCUAUCUGUAAAGAAGAGAACAUGAAAUUCUGUUGGCAGAAGCAGCAUUUUGAAGAAAUAAAAGAUUUACUGCGCUGAC